GGGGGUGACUGGCUUCGACAGGUGCCGGUCGUCUCCGGGAGAGCGAGCCGAGUAGCCCUGGUCACCUCGCAAAACUGCCCAGGGAACCCAAUAGGUGCCGAAGACAACUUCGCCCUCGCAGCCUAAGUAAGGCCGCGUGUCCGUCCCCACCCGCCUGGGGUGGGGGUACGGGCAUCAUGAUCCAGGCUCACCCCGUGGUCGCCGCCACCGGCCGCGGGGGACACCACAGUGGCGUACGGCUGCCGAGUCGUCCGGUCCCGGGACGCGGCGGCCCGACAAUCCACCGGGACCUACGCUCGUAGCGCUUCCGGAGUCGCGGCAUCUGCACCCGGGUUCGAAUCCCGGCACCUCCACUG
rnacentral:tmRNA from 1 species